GACGAACGCUGGCGGCGUGCUUAACACAUGCAAGUCGAACGGAAAGGCGCUGCUUUUUUGGGGUGCUCGAGUGGCGAGGGGGAGAGUAACAUAUGAGUAACCUGCCCUUGACUUUGGGAUAACAUCAGGGAACUGGGGCUAAUACAGGAUAGGAGCUUCUGCGGCAUGGUGGUGGUUGGAAAGUGUCGGCGGUUGUGGCUGGACUCGAGGCUCAUCAGCUUGUUGGGGGGGUAGGUGCUUACCACGGCUUUGACGGGUAGCCGGCCUGAGAGGGUUGCCGGCCACAUUGGGACUGAGAUACGGCGCAGACGCGGACAGGAGGGAGCAGUGGGGAAUAUUGCAAAGUGGCGGGGAGCCUGAUGCGGUGGCGCCGCGUGGGGGAUGAAGGCCUUCGGGUUGUGAAGCGCGUUCGCCUGUGACGAAGCGUGAGUGACGGUAAUGGGUAAAGAAGCACCGGCUAACUACGUG
rnacentral:rRNA from 1 species